UACGGAGGGAGCUAGCGUUGUUCGGAAUUACUGGGCGUAAAGCGCACGUAGGCGGCUUUGUAAGUUAGAGGUGAAAGCCCGGGGCUCAACUCCGGAACUGCCUUUAAGACUGCAUCGCUUGAAUCCGGGAGAGGUGAGUGGAAUUCCGAGUGUAGAGGUGAAAUUCGUAGAUAUUCGGAAGAACACCAGUGGCGAAGGCGCUCACUGGACCGGCAUUGACGCUGAGGUGACGAAAGGCGUGGGGAGCAAACAGG
rnacentral:rRNA from 1 species